AAGAAUACCGGCUUCGCAGCCAAUAUUCUCGCCCUCUGUAUACCAAACUUUGUUGCUUUGGCAGGCCCCUGGCUUCAGCUGGACUGUGCCUGCCAGAGGACCCCUAACUCUUGAAUGCCUGCUGUCUGAGUACUAUCUAAAUAGUUAAAACUUUCAACAACGGAUCUCUUGGUUCUGGCAUCGAUGAAGAACGCAGCGAAAUGCGAUAAGUAAUGUGAAUUGCAGAAUUUAGUGAAUCAUCGAAUCUUUGAACGCACCUUGCACCCUUUGGUAUUCCGAAGGGUACACCCGUUUGAGUGUCAUUGUAAUCUCACCUCUUCGACUUUUUUUAUGGUCGAUCAGUGUGGACUUGGAUGUUGCUGUGUAACAAACGGCUCGUCUGAAAUGCCUUAGUGUACCCUGCUUUGCGGCGUAUUCGGGUGUGAUAAAUCUUCACCGGAGUUUCGACUUUCGGGUCGGCGCUUGUAAUGUUUUGGCUCUAUGCUUCGAACCGUCCCUAACAAGGACAAACUAUACUCUGACAAUUUGACCUCAAAUCGGGGUGGGACUACCCGCUGAACUUUAA
rnacentral:rRNA from 1 species